rnacentral:rRNA from 1 species
GACGAACGCUGGCGGCGUGCUUAACACAUGCAAGUCGAACGGUGAAGCGCCUUCCUUUUUGGUGGGUGUGGAUGAGUGGCGAACGGGUGAGUAACACGUGAGUAACCUGCCCCCUUCUUCUGGAUAACCGCAUGAAAGUGUGGCUAAUACGGGACAUUCUGGGUCUGUCGCAUGAUGGGUCUGGGAAAGAUAUUGUUUCGGUGGGGGAUGGGCUCGCGGCCUAUCAGCUUGUUGGUGGGGUGAUGGCCUACCAAGGCGGUGACGGGUAGCCGGCCUGAGAGGGUGGACGGUCACACUGGGACUGAGACACGGCCCAGACUCCUACGAGAGGCAGCAGUGGGGAAUAUUGCACAAUGGGCGCAAGCCUGAUGCAGCGACGCCGCGUGAGGGAUGGAGGCCUUCGGGUUGUGAACCUCUUUCGCCAGUGAAGCAGGCCUGCCUCGUUUGUGGGUGGGUCGACGGUAGCUGGAUAAGAAGCGCCGGCUAACUACGUG